UGGAGAGGGGGCCUGAGAGAUGGCUACCACUUCCAAGGAAGGCAGCAGGCGCGCAAAUUACCCAAUCCCGACUGGGGGAGGUAGUGACAGGACAUGACGGGGCGGGGCGCUUAGCGCUCUGCGACUGGGUUGAGGAAAAGAUAAAGCGAUUGACGAGAAACGAUUGGAGGGCAAGUCUGGUGCCAGCAGCCGCGGUAAUUCCAGCUCCAAUGGUAUAUCUUAGGGGUGGGAGCGGUUGAAACGUUCUGGAGACAGGGUCGGGGGACCAAUGGGAAGAGGGGAAAACGUGGACAUGAUGUGGUGGGCGAAAAUGGCAUGGUGUGUGGGAUGGCGUGAUGACAGAGAUGGCAGUCUCGUGCUUGGAUAGGUUAGCAUGGAAUAACGGGAUGGUCCGUUGGUUGGAGCGUAGGUUGAUAGGGACAGUUGGGGGCAUUGGUAUUUGGCAGUCAGAGGUGAAAUUCUAGGAUUUGCCAAAGACGGACGGGGGCGAAAGCAUUUGCCAAGGAUGUUUUCAUUGAUCAAGAACGAAAGUUGGGGGAUCGAAGACGAUUAGAUACCGUCGUAGUCUCGACAGUAAACGAUGCCGGCGGGGCGCGGGGGGGCCGAGGGAGGCGCUUCCGUGCCCUGGAGAAAUCAGAGCGUGUGGGUUCUGGGGGGAGUAUGGUCGCAAGGCAGAAACUUGAAGGAAUUGACGGAAGGGCACCACCAGGAGUGGAGCCUGCGGCUUAAUUUGACUCAACACGGGGAAACUCACCAGGUCCGGACAUGGGAAGGAUUGACAGACUGAGAGCUCUUUCACGAUUCUGUGGGAGGUGGUGCAUGGCCGUUGUUGGUUGGUGGAGUGAUUUGUCAGGUUUAUUCCGGUAACGGGCGAGACGGGGGGUGGGGGAAACUAUUAUCGUAGGCAUCUGCGAUAGUGGGCCACCGCGACACGCGGCGCCAAGCCGCGGGAAGCACCCCGCAAUAACAGGUCCGUUAUGCCCAACAGGUCCGUUAUGCCCA
rnacentral:rRNA from 1 species